AUUGAACGCUGGCGGCAGGCCUAACACAUGCAAGUCGAGCGCGAAAGUUCUUCGGAAUGAGUAAAGCGGCGGACGGGUGAGUAAUGCAUGGGAAUCUGCCUGGUAGUGGGGGACAACGUUUCGAAAGGAACGCUAAUACCGCAUACGCCCUACGGGGAAAGGGGGGAGUCUUCGGACCUCUCGCUAUCAGAUGAGCCCAUGUCAGAUUAGCUAGUUGGUGGGGUAAAGGCUCACCAAGGCGACGAUCUGUAACUGGUCUGAGAGGAUGAUCAGUCACACUGGAACUGAGACACGGUCCAGACUCCUACGGGAGGCAGCAGUGGGGAAUAUUGGACAAUGGGCGAAAGCCUGAUCCAGCCAUGCCGCGUGUGUGAAGAAGGCCU
rnacentral:rRNA from 1 species